UACGUAGGGUGCAAGCGUUAUCCGGAAUUAUUGGGCGUAAAGAGCUCGUAGGCGGUUUGUCGCGUCUGCUGUGAAAACUGGGGGCUCAACCCCCAGCCUGCAGUGGGUACGGGCAGACUAGAGUGCGGUAGGGGAGAUUGGAAUUCCUGGUGUAGCGGUGGAAUGCGCAGAUAUCAGGAGGAACACCGAUGGCGAAGGCAGAUCUCUGGGCCGUAACUGACGCUGAGGGGCGAAAGCGUGGGGAGCGAACAGG
rnacentral:rRNA from 1 species